AUUGAACGCUGGCGGCAUGCCUUACACAUGCAAGUCGAACGGUGUCUUCGGACAUAGUGGCGCACGGGUGCGUAACACGUAUGCAACCUACCUUACAUUGGGGGAUAGCCUUUCGAAAGGGAGAUUAAUACCGCAUAAGACAGUAGCUGGGCAUCCAGCAGCUGUUAAAGAUUUAUCGAUGUAAGCUGGGCAUGCGUCCAAUUAGCUAGUUGGUGAGGUAACGGCCCACCAAGGCAAUGAUUGGUAGGGGAACUGAGAGGUCAAUCGCCCACACUGGCACGUAGAUACAGGCCACACUACUACGAGAUGCAGCCGUAGGGAAUAUUAGGCAAUGGACGCAAGUCUGACCGAGCCAUUCCGCGUGCAGGAUGAUGGCGUUGUGCGUUGUAAACUGCUUUUCUACAGGAAGAAACGACGCUUGCGAGAGGCAUUGACAGUACUGUAUGAAUAAGCACCGGCUAACUCCGUGCCAGCCGCCGCAGUAAAAC
rnacentral:rRNA from 1 species